rnacentral:snRNA from 1 species
UGGUUAAUCCGGAAUAAUCCGU